GAUCCUGGCUUAGGAUGAACGCUGGCGGCGUGCUUAACACAUGCAAGUCGAACGAGGCAUCUUAGAAAGCGUCUCGGACAAUGGAAGAGAUGACUGAGUGGCGGACGGGUGAGUAACGCGUGGGUAACCUGCCUCAUACAGGGGGAUAACAGUUAGAAAUGACUGCUAAUACCGCGUAAGCGCACAGUACCGCAUGGUACGGUGUGAAAAACUCUGGUGGUAUGAGAUGGACCCGCGUCUGAUUAGCUAGUUGGUGGGGCAAAGGCCUACCAAGGCGACGAUCAGUAGCCGACCUGAGAGGGUGACCGGCCACAUUGGGACUGAGACACGGCCCAGACUCCUACGGGAGGCAGCAGUGGGGAAUAUUGCACAAUGGAGGAAACUCUGAUGCAAGCGACGCCGCGUGAGCGAAGAAGUAUUUCGGUAUGUAAAGCUCUAUCAGCAAGGAAGAUAAUGACGGUACUUGACUAAGAAGCCCCGGCUAACUACGUGCCAGCAGCCGC
rnacentral:rRNA from 1 species